rnacentral:rRNA from 1 species
UAGGCGUAAAUGAUGCGAGUUAAGUGUGGGGCAUCUACGAGAUGGCCCUGUGCUGUAGGGUAGCCGUUAAACUCGCUGCCUGGGGAGUACGGUCGCAAGGCUGAAACUUAAAGGAAUUGGCGGGGGGAGCACCACAAGAGGUGGAGGCUGCGGUUCAAUUGGACUCAACGCCGGAAACUCAUCGGGAGCGACAGCAGUAUGAUUGCCAGGUUGAUGACCUUGCUUGACAAGCUGAGAGGAGGUGCAUGGCGUAGUCGUGU